rnacentral:rRNA from 1 species
UACGGAGGGUGCAAGCGUUAAUCGGAAUUACUGGGCGUAAAGCGUGCGUAGGCGGUUCGUUAAGUCUGUUGUGAAAGCCCCGGGCUCAACCUGGGAAUGGCAAUGGAUACUGGCGAGCUAGAGUGUGUCAGAGGAUGGUGGAAUUCCCGGUGUAGCGGUGAAAUGCGUAGAGAUCGGGAGGAACAUCAGUGGCGAAGGCGGCCAUCUGGACAGCACUGACGC